UACGUAGGGCGCAAGCGUUAUCCGGAAUUAUUGGGCGUAAAGAGCUCGUAGGCGGUUUGUCGCGUCUGCCGUGAAAGUCCGGGGCUCAACUCCGGAUCUGCGGUGGGUACGGGCAGACUAGAGUGAUGUAGGGGAGACUGGAAUUCCUGGUGUAGCGGUGAAAUGCGCAGAUAUCAGGAGGAACACCAGUGGCGAAGGCGCCGCUCUGGGCCGUGACUGACGCUGAGGAGCGAAAGCAUGGGGAGCGAACAGG
rnacentral:rRNA from 1 species